rnacentral:lncRNA from 1 species
UCGGCAAGGUAGUACGCACCAGAGUAUACAGUAUUGUUGAUUUGGUAUGUGACCUGAGGGGAAUGACCUCGCAAUACCUCGUCGAACACCGGGGAUUGACCAAGGACAUUGAGGUCAUUCUGAGAUCCGGCAACCCCGAAAAAGGCAUGCCAAACCCAAGUGUCGAAUGAAGCUACGGCCUCCAAAAUGAUACUUUUUUGGCCCUUCCGAUUCCCAUA